rnacentral:rRNA from 1 species
UUGGGGACCUGCGGAGGAUCAUUAACAAGUCGGGCGAAAGCCCCCCUCUGUUUGUCCUCACACCUCUGCGUACCCAACCACGUUGCUUCCGAGGGACAGCCCUUCGGGGCCCGCCUGUCUCUGGCGGAGUCGCCCUCGGGAGGUAUACCGAACUCAUGUUGUUUUGAUUUCUGUCUGAAUGUGAAACUAUAACAGUUAAAACUUUCAACAACGGAUCUCUUGGUUCUCGCAUCGAUGAAGAACGCAGCGAAAUGCGAUAAGUAGUGUGAAUUGCAGAAUUCAGUGAAUCAUCGAAUCUUUGAACGCACAUUGCGCCCUCUGGUAUUCCGGGGGGCAUGCCUGUUCGAGCGUCAUCAAACAAACCUCAAGCUGUCUUUGCUUGGUAUUGGAGGUGGACGGGACAACCGCCCCCUCUCAAAGCGAUCUGGCGGAAAGCCCUGUCGGCCCAGGCGUAGUAAUAAUCUUAUAUCGUUUAGGUCGGCGGCGGUGUUCUUGCCGUACAACCCCCAAUCUACCAAUAGUUUGACCUCGGAUCAGGUAGGGAUACCCGCUGAACUUAAGCAUAUCAAUAAGCGGAGGAAAAGAAACCAACAGGGAUUGCCUUAGUAACUGCGAGUGAAGCGGCAUCAGCUCAAAUUUGAAAUCUGGCG